GAUGAACGCUGGCGGCGUGCCUAAUACAUGCAAGUCGAGCGAACGGACGAGAAGCUUGCUUUUCUGAUGUUAGCGGCGGACGGGUGAGUAACACGUGGAUAACCUACCUAUAAGACUGGGAUAACUUCGGGAAACCGGAGCUAAUACCGGAUAAUAUUUUGAACCGCAUGGUUCAAAAGUGAAAGACGGUCUUGCUGUCACUUAUAGAUGGAUCCGCGCUGCAUUAGCUAGUUGGUAAGGUAACGGCUUACCAAGGCAACGAUGCAUAGCCGACCUGAGAGGGUGAUCGGCCACACUGGAACUGAGACACGGUCCAGACUCCUACGGGAGGCAGCAGUAGGGAAUCUUCCGCAAUGGGCGAAAGCCUGACGGAGCAACGCCGCGUGAGUGAUGAAGGUCUUCGGAUCGUAAAACUCUGUUAUUAGGGAAGAACAGAUGUGUAAGUAACUGUGCACAUCUUGACGGUACCUAAUCAGGAAGCCACGGCUAACUACGUG
rnacentral:rRNA from 1 species